rnacentral:rRNA from 1 species
UGCCAGCAGCCGCGGUAAUACGGAGGGGGCAAGCGUUGUUCGGAAUUACUGGGCGUAAAGGGCGCGUAGGCGGAUAUUCAAGUCAGGGGUGAAAGGCCUGGGCUCAACCUGGGAACUGCCUUUGAAACUGGAUAUCUAGAGACCGGAAGAGGAUAGCGGAAUUCCCAGUGUAGAGGUGAAAUUCGUAGAUAUUGGGAAGAACACCAGUGGCGAAGGCGGCUAUCUGGUCCGGGUCUGACGCUGAGGCGCGAAAGCGUGGGGAGCAAACAGGAUUAGAUA